GACGAACGCUGGCGGCGUGCUUAACACAUGCAAGUCGAACGAAGUGGCGAACGGGUGAGUAACGCGUAAUCAACCUGCCCUUCAGAGGGGGACAACAGUUGGAAACGACUGCUAAUACCGAAUACUGAAGGAGGGGAUUGCGUCUGAUUAGCUAGUUGGGGGGGUAACGGCCCACCAAGGCGAUGAUCAGUAGCCGGUCUGGGGGGAUGGACGGCCAAAUUGGGAACGAGGAAAGGCCCCAGACUCCACGGGAGGCAGCAAGGGGGGAUCUUCCGCAAAUGAGGAAAGGCUGACGGGGCAACGCCGCGGUGGUUAUGGCGGGCUUCGGGUUGGAAAGCUCUGUUAAUCGGGACGCGGUACCGGAAUAGAAAGCCACGGCUAACUACGUGCCAGCAGCCGCGGUAAUAC
rnacentral:rRNA from 1 species